GCCCUUAUAGCACAGUGGCAGUGCACCUCAUUGGUAAUGAGGAGGUCGUCGGUUCGAUCCCGACUAAGGGCA
rnacentral:tRNA from 1 species